UGAACCACAGCAAGCGCCACACCGCUAAGAAGGAGACGGCGUUGCCCCCACUUGUCCACAAGCUGCUCUUCGAUUCAUCACAAGCCAGCACAGGGGAACCACUGACAGCACAGCUGGUGCAUCGCAAGGAACUCGAGGCCCUCCUCGCUGGCUUGGAGAAGAAGAUCCUCUCAGAUGCUUCACUUUAUCCUGGUCCGGCAAUGGAGGCACACUCGGCAGCUGUCAGAGCAGGGAUUAUUAAGGAAGUGGAAAGCAUUGUGGAGCAAGCCCUGAAACU